CGCCUCGGCGUCAACAUCGUUUCACUUACCUUCUGGGUUUUAUUGGUUUCCAUGGGAAAUGUUUAAGCAGGUGGAUCAAUGGCAACCAAAUCUAAUCAACUCCUGGGAUAGAGUAACACAAGACACGCCGAUCGCAAACCUUUUACAAACAAUGAUCUUCUACGAUGAUCAAGGAAGACCCCAUAAGCCUCUUGGAAUAAACCCGGCUGCAAAAGAAAGCGUCAAAGUAGCUGCUGCAGAUCACCAUUAUAUACCACA